UACGUAGGGAGCAAGCGUUAUCCGGAAUUACUGGGUGUAAAGGGAGCGUAGACGGCGAUGCAAGCCAGAUGUGAAAGCCCGGGGCUCAACCCCGGGACUGCAUUUGGAACUGUGUGGCUGGAGUGUCGGAGAGGCAAGUGGAAUUCCUAGUGUAGCGGUGAAAUGCGUAGAUAUUAGGAGGAACACCAGUGGCGAAGGCGGCUUGCUGGACGAUGACUGACGUUGAGGCUCGAAAGCGUGGGGAGCAAACAGG
rnacentral:rRNA from 1 species